rfam:Canis lupus familiaris chromosome 28, whole genome shotgun sequence.
AGGAGGAACAGCCCCAGUGGCGGGGCCAGCUCUGGAAACCUGGAUUCAGCCCCGGGAGGAACUACAGAGCUCUCUGUCUGCAGGGCCUGGAGGCUCCGGGGCGGG